rnacentral:rRNA from 1 species
GACGAACGCUGGCGGCGUGCUUAACACAUGCAAGUCGAACGGAGUGGCGAACGGGUGAGUAACACGUGGGUUACCUGCCCUGCACUUCGGGAUAAGCCUGGGAAACUGGGUCUAAUACCGGAUAGUGUGGGAUGGGUCCGCGGCCAAUCUGCUGGUUGGUGGGGUAAUGGCCUACCAAGGCGGCGACUGGUAGCCGGCCAGGGAGGGUGGACGGCCACAUUGGGACUGAGACACGGCGCAGACUCCGACGGGAGGCAGCAGUGGGGAAUAUUGCACAAUGGGCGGAAGUCUGAUGCAGAGGCGCCGCGUGGGGGAUGACGGCCUUCGGGUUGUAAACUCCUUUCACCAUCGACGCGGUAGAUGGAGAAGAAGCACCGGCUAACUACGUGCCAGCCGCCGCGGUAAUAC